rnacentral:rRNA from 1 species
AUUGAACGCUGGCGGCAGGCCUAACACAUGCAAGUCGAACGGUAACAGGAAGCAGCUUGCUGCUUCGCUGACGAGUGGCGGACGGGUGAGUAAUGUCUGGGAAGCUGCCUGAUGGAGGGGGAUAACUACUGGAAACGGUAGCUAAUACCGCAUAAUGUCGCAAGACCAAAGAGGGGAACUUCGGGCCUCUUGCCAUCGGAUUGGCCCAGAUGGGAUUAGCUUGUUGGUGGGGUAACGGCUCACCAAGGCGACGAUCCCUAGCUGGUCUGAGAGGAUGACCAGCCACACUGGGACUGAGACACGGUCCAGACUCCUACGGGAGGCAGCAGUGGGGAAUAUUGCACAAUGGGCGCAAGCCUGAUGCAGCCAUGCCGCGUGUAUGAAGAAGGCCUUCGGGUUGUAAAGUACUUUCAGCGGGGAGGAAGGGAGUAAAGUUAAUACCUUUGCUCAUUGACGUUACCCGCAGAAGAAGCACCGGCUAAUUCCGUG